AGACAAGAAUCUGAACUGACUGCUUGAUGCUUAAGAAGGUGAAUAAUGACUUGGAGAAGACCUUGUGCGUAUCUUUUGAUCUUUGGGCUUCAGACACCCCUUCACCCAUAAUUAACUUGUGUGUUGACUGAUCACCUGAGUGAUCAAGGGAGACUCAGUAUGUCAGUGGAAACCAGGAAACUAUUACUCUAUGGCAAAACAGCAAUCAAGCCAACUCGUCUAUGAUACAAAUCAGAUACCUGCAAGAACAAGUCACGUAAUGGCAAGCUGUACUGGAGAUAGAUGAUAUCCUAAAUCAUUAUCUUCGAUAGCAUCAAUUAUGUUUACAGGAGCAAGGUGAAUUUGUGGACUUCCUUCCUUCAAGAUGCUAUCAGGACAAGCCGUGAAGUUGGAUGUCUGAAACAGAUUGAGAUGAUUUUUUAAACAUUGGUACACAAGUAAGCGCUUGCUACCUGGGGGAAGGAGAUCCUCAUCUGUCAGUGGAGACUAUUGAUCCAGGAGGAAGAGUAUGAAGG